rnacentral:rRNA from 1 species
AGAGUUUGAUCCUGGCUCAGAUUGAACGCUGGCGGCAUGCCUUACACAUGCAAGUCGAACGGCAGCACGGACUUCGGUCUGGUGGCGAGUGGCGAACGGGUGAGUAAUGUAUCGGAACGUACCUUUCAGUGGGGGAUAACGUAGCGAAAGUUACGCUAAUACCGCAUAUUCUGUGAGCAGGAAAGCAGGGGAUCGCAAGACCUUGCGCUGAUUGAGCGGCCGAUAUCAGAUUAGCUAGUUGGUGGGGUAAAGGCCUACCAAGGCUACGAUCUGUAGCGGGUCUGAGAGGAUGAUCCGCCACACUGGAACUGAGACACGGUCCAGACUCCUACGGGAGGCAGCAGUGGGGAAUUUUGGACAAUGGGGGCAACCCUGAUCCAGCCAUGCCGCGUGAGUGAAGAAGGCCUUCGGGUUGUAAAGCUCUUUCGGCCGGGAAGAAAUCGCAUAGGCUAAUACCCUGUGUGGAUGACGGUACCGGAAUAAGAAGCACCGGCUAACUACGUGCCAGCAGCCGCGGUAAUACGUAGGGUGCGAGCGUUAAUCGGAAUUACUGGGCGUAAAGCGUGCGCAGGCGGUUUAGUAAGACAGGCGUGAAAUCCCCGGGCUCAACCUGGGAACUGCGCUUGUGACUGCUAAGCUAGAGUACGGCAGAGGGGGGUGGAAUUCCACGUGUAGCAGUGAAAUGCGUAGAGAUGUGGAGGAACACCGAUGGCGAAGGCAGCCCCCUGGGCCGAUACUGACGCUCAUGCACGAAAGCGUGGGUAGCAAACAGGAUUAGAUACCCUGGUAGUCCACGCCCUAAACGAUGUCAACUAGUU